GUACACUCCUGCGGGAGGCAGCAGUGGGGAAUUUUGAACAAUGGGCGAAAGCCUGAUCCAGCAAUGCCGCGUGAGUGAAGAAGGCCUUCGGGUUGUAAAGCUCUUUUGUCAGGGAAGAAACGGUGAAAGCUAAUAUCUUUUGCUAAUGACGGUACCUGAAGAAUAAGCACCGGCUAACUACGUGCCAGCAGCCGCGGUAAUACGUAGGGUGCAAGCGUUAAUCGGAAUUACUGGGCGUAAAGCGUGCGCAGGCGGUUUUGUAAGUCUGAUGUGAAAUCCCCGGGCUCAACCUGGGAAUUGCAUUGGAGACUGCAAGGCUAGAAUCUGGCAGAGGGGGGUAGAAUUCCACGUGUAGCAGUGAAAUGCGUAGAUAUGUGGAGGAACACCGAUGGCGAAGGCAGCCCCCUGGGUCAAGAUUGACGCUCAUGCACGAAAGCGUGGGGAGCAAACAGGAUUAGAAACCCCGGUAGUCCCAUG
rnacentral:rRNA from 1 species